GACGAACGCUGGCGGCGUGCCUAAUACAUGCAAGUAGAACGCUGAAGGAGGAGCUUGCUCUUCUGGAUGAGUUGCGAACGGGUGAGUAACGCGUAGGUAACCUGCCUGGUAGCGGGGGAUAACUAUUGGAAACGAUAGCUAAUACCGCAUAAGAGUAGAUGUUGCAUGACAUUUACUUAAAAGGUGCAAUUGCAUCACUACCAGAUGGACCUGCGUUGUAUUAGCUAGUUGGUGGGGUAACGGCUUACCAAGGCGACGAUACAUAGCCGACCUGAGAGGGUGAUCGGCCACACUGGGACUGAGACACGGCCCAGACUCCUACGGGAGGCAGCAGUAGGGAAUCUUCGGCAAUGGACGGAAGUCUGACCGAGCAACGCCGCGUGAGUGAAGAAGGUUUUCGGAUCGUAAAGCUCUGUUGUAAGAGAAGAACGAGUGUGAGAGUGGAGAGUUCAUACUGUGACGGUAUCUUACCAGAAAGGGACGGCUAACUACGUG
rnacentral:rRNA from 1 species